rnacentral:rRNA from 1 species
AGACCCGAAACCCGGUGAUCUAGCCAUGGGCAGGUUGAAGGUUGGGUAACACUAACUGGAGGACCGAACCGACUAAUGUUGAAAAAUUAGCGGAUGACUUGUGGCUGGGGGUGAAAGGCCAAUCAAACCGGGAGAUAGCUGGUUCUCCCCGAAAGCUAUUUAGGUAGCGCCUCGUGAAUUCAUCUCCGGGGGUAGAGCACUGUUUCGGCAAGGGGGUCAUCCCGACUUACCAACCCGAUGCAAACUGCGAAUACCGGAGAAUGUUAUCACGGGAGACACACGGCGGGUGCUAACGUCCGUCGUGAAGAGGGAAACAACCCAGACCGCCAGCUAAGGUCCCAAAGUCAUGGUUAAGUGGGAAACGAUGUGGGAAGGCCCAGACAGCCAGGAUGUUGGCUUAGAAGCAGCCAUCAUUUAAAGAAAGCGUAAUAGCUCACUGGUCGAGUCGGCCUGCGCGGAAGAUGUAACGGGGCUAAACCAUGCACCGAAGCUGCGGCAGCGACACUG